UGUAGUCUGCAACUCGACUACAUGAAGCUGGAAUCGCUAGUAAUCGCGAAUCAGAAUGUCGCGGUGAAUACGUUCCCGGGUCUUGUACACACCGCCCGUCACACCAUGGGAGUCAGUAACGCCCGAAGUCAGUGACCCAACCAAUCAGGGAGGGAGCUGCCGAAGGUGGGACCGAUAACUGGGGGUGAAGUCGUAACAAGGUAGC
rnacentral:rRNA from 1 species